rnacentral:rRNA from 1 species
UACGGAGGGGGCGAGCGUUGUCCGAAGUUACUGGGCGUAAAGCGCGCGUAGGCGGGUCAACAAGUCCGCUGUGAAAGCCCGAGGCUCAACCUCGGCGGGUCGGUGGAUACUGUUGGUCUUGAAGGUGCUAGGGGGAGAUGGAAUUACCGGUGUAGCGGUGAAAUGCGUAGAUAUCGGUAGGAACACCAGUGGCGAAGGCGGUCUCCUGGGGCAUUCUUGACGCUGAGGCGCGAAAGCUGGGGGAGCGAACGGG